rnacentral:rRNA from 1 species
UUAGUGGCGGACGGGUGAGUAACGCGUGAGGAACCUGCCUUUCAGUGGGGGACAACAGUUGGAAACGACUGCUAAUACCGCAUAAUGUAUUCUGACCGCAUGAUCGGAAUACCAAAGAUUUAUUGCUGAAAGAUGGCCUCGCGUCUGAUUAGAUAGUUGGUGAGGUAACGGCCCACCAAGUCGACGAUCAGUAGCCGGACUGAGAGGUUGAACGGCCACAUUGGGACUGAGAUACGGCCCAGACUCCUACGGGAGGCAGCAGUGGGGAAUAUUGGGCAAUGGGGGAAACCCUGACCCAGCAACGCCGCGUGAAGGAAGAAGGCUUUCGGGUUGUAAACUUCUUUUACCAGGGACGAAGGACGUGGCGGUACCUGGAGAAAAAGCCACGGCUAACUACGUGCCAGCAGCCGCGGUAAUACGUAGGUGGCAAGCGUUGUCCGGAUUUACUGGGUGUAAAGGGCGUGUAGGCGGAGAAGCAAGUCAGAAGUGAAAUCCAUGGGCUUAACCCAUGAACUGCUUUUGAAACUGUUUCCC